rnacentral:rRNA from 1 species
CAGUCGCCGCGGUAAUGCGAAGGGUGCAAGCGUUACUCGGAAUUACUGGGCGUAAAGCGUGCGUAGGUGGUGGUUUAAGUCCGUUGUGAAAGCCCUGGGCUCAACCUGGGAAUUGCAGUGGAUACUGGGUCACUAGAGUGUGGUAGAGGAUAGUGGAAUUUCCGGUGUAGCAGUGAAAUGCGUAGAGAUCGGAAGGAACAUCUGUGGCGAAGGCGACUAUCUGGGCCAACACUGACACUGAGGCACGAAAGCGUGGGGAGCAAACAGGAUUAGAUACCCCAGUAGUCCCUGUCUCUUAUAC